AUGAACCAACUUAAAGUUUAUCCUUUUAGAGAUGUUGGAAAGAAGCAACAAAAUAUAAUGUCAUCCAUUGUAUGCAACCCGACUUGUGUCGUAAAGAUGUCGAUUAUGUUCCUCUGGAUAUGUCCUUCCACCAUAUCGGUCCAUAGCCAAACCUUUCCAGCUUGGAGGAAGUUCAACCUCCAUAAUCUCGUUCACAAAAGGAUGGCGUCAAGAUGUCCUUGUUCCCAUAAAGACUUGAUUAGUAAUAGUUUGAAUCCGAGGUCCUUCCCUUAAUCGAUGGGCCUUCCCAAUCCUUCCUUGUUACUUGCCUAUGUAAGUUUUCAACAUGAUGGGAGGAUUCUUCCAUUUGUCUCCUUAUUCUCUUAUUCUUCUCCCUCAACGCGUUAAUCUCUUCUUCAUUCUUAUGUCUCAUCUCCUUUAACUAUGUAUGCAUCUCCUCUUGCAUCUCUAGCAACGCCGCAUUCUGAUUUGCCAUAUUUCCUUUGGACACCAUUUUCUCCAAGUACACCUCGACCCC
rnacentral:lncRNA from 1 species